GAAAUGCGAUAAGUAAUGUGAAUUGCACAAUUCAGUGAAUCAUCGAAUCUUUGAACGCACCUUGCGCUCCUUGGUAUUCCUUGGAGCAUGCCUGUUUGAGUAUCAUGAAAUCUUCAAAGUAAAUCUUUUGUUAACUCAAUUGGUUUCUACUUUGGUAUUGGAGGUCUUUGCAGCUUCACACCUGCUCCUCUUUGUUCAUUAGCUGGAUCUCAGUGUUAUGCUUGGUUCCACUCGGCGUGAUAAGUUAUCUAUCGCUGAGGACACUGUAAAAGGUGGCCAAGGUAAAUGCAGAUGAACCGCUUCUAAUAGUCCAUUGACUUGGACAAUACUUUUAUGAUCUGAUCUCAAAUCAGGUAGGACUACCCGCUGAACUUAAGC
rnacentral:misc_RNA from 1 species